GCCCGAGUGGCUCAAUGGUAGAGCGCAUCACUAGUAAUGAUGAGGUUCCAGGUUCGAUUCCUGGCUCGGGCA
rnacentral:tRNA from 2 species